rnacentral:lncRNA from 1 species
AGGGGUCAGGGGGUCUGGUUUUAUAGUCCCUUCAAGUGAAUAUGGGCCGUUGGAUCAAACCGACAUUAAUCGCACGGUUUUCCUUGAUCCCUUAGGUCGGUGGAGCAAGAUCCCGAAAGAGAGUCCUAAUUGGACUCAGAAGGUGGGCGGGCGCCCACGAGAGUAGGGCGGGCGCCCUGCCUAUGAGCCUGAUUGCCUUCCCAUUUGUUCCCAUGGCUUCUGAAGUCUUCUAGAUGGUAGAAAAUUGCACGGCACGUUAAUAUCUCUAUGUAAUCCCGACAUGUGGGCCUUUCUUCCAUAUUUCCUGAUAACCCCCUGCAGAAAUAGACAAACACCAAAACUCGUGGAAUUCUGUCAGAUAAAACCGUAAGUCUAGGUGUUGGUUGCAUUUGGAUCCUUUCCCAUGAUUAGUUGAUGGUUAAAUGUGAGCAUUAAGGACCGUCAACAGCCAUCUCUUUGUUCGUUCUCUGUAGAUCUUCGAAUUAUGACACGCCUUUUCUCUCCAUUCUUCUAGUUCUGAUAAUUGCAUUUUUCUUUUCUCUCCAGCGACUUCGAAAUCCAUAUUCCAUGUUUUGAUAGCCCAGUGAGCCUUAUGUUCUAGUUCAACUAGCAAGUCUCAUGUAUUUCCAUAUACCAGUUGAUAUGGUGACAUACCCAAAGGUGGUUU